rnacentral:rRNA from 1 species
GCGUAACGCGUAUGCAACCUACCCAUUGCUGGAGAAUAGGCCGAAGAAAUUCGGAUUAAUACUCCAUAAUAUCAUUUUAACACAUGUUUUAAUGAUUAAAGUUCCGACGGCAAUGGAUGGGCAUGCGUGACAUUAGUUUGUUGGUGAGGUAACGGCUCACCAAGACUGCGAUGUCUAGGGGGUCUUAAAGGAUGAUCCCCCACACUGGUACUGAGACACGGACCAG